AUACUUACCUGGCAGGGAAGAUGCCAUGAUCACGAAGGUGGUUUUCCUAGGUAGUGGGGGACUGCGUUCACGCUCUCCCCUG
rnacentral:snRNA from 11 species